rnacentral:rRNA from 1 species
UACGUAGGGUGCAAGCGUUAAUCGGAAUUACUGGGCGUAAAGGGUGCGCAGGCGGUUCUGUAAGUCAGAUGUGAAAUCCCCGGGCUUAACCUGGGAAUUGCGUUUGAAACUACAGAGCUGGAGUGUAGCAGAGGGGGGUGGAAUUCCAUGUGUAGCAGUGAAAUGCGUAGAGAUAUGGAAGAACAUCGAUGGCGAAGGCAACCCCCUGGGUUAACACUGACGCUCAUGCACGAAAGCGUGGGGAGCAAACAGGAUUAGAAACCCGAGUAGUCC